AUAAAACCUGGACGAUGGACGUCCAUCGUCCAAUAAAACCUGGACGAUGGACGUCCAUCGUCCAUCGUCCAUA